GCAAACUUGGUCAUUUAGAGGAAGUAAAAGUCGUAACAAGGUUUCCGUAGGUGAACCUGCGGAAGGAUCAUUAUCGAAGCUCGAAGGGCCCUAGGUUGUCGCUGGCUUGUCCCUUGCGGGACAAGCAUGUGCACGCCUCUGGUUCUCAAUCCUUCAACACACCCCUUGUGCAUCUUCGCGUGGCGGGGAGGCCUUUCAAGCCUUUUCGUCGCGCUUUCUACACAAACUCUACGCAUGUCUACAGAAUGUCUAUUGUUGCGAUGUAACGCAUCUAAUACAACUUUCAACAACGGAUCUCUUGGCUCUCGCAUCGAUGAAGAACGCAGC
rnacentral:misc_RNA from 1 species